rnacentral:rRNA from 1 species
CCUGGCUCAGAAUCAACGCUGGCGGCGCGCCUAACACAUGCAAGUCGAACGAGAAAGUGGAGCAAUCCAUGAGUACAGUGGCGUACGGGUGAGUAACACGUGGAUCAUCUGCCCUUUUGUGGGGAAUACCGCUGGGAAACCGGCGACAAUACCGCAUAAGCCCGAGAGGGGAAAGCAGCAAUGCGCAGAAGGAGGAGUCCGCGGUCGAUUAGUUAGUUGGCGGGGUAAAGGCCCACCAAGACUGUGAUCGAUAGCCGGCCUGAGAGGGCACACGGCCACACUGGCACUGAAACACGGGCCAGACUCCUACGGGAGGCAGCAGUGGGGAAUCUUGCACAAUGGGCGAAAGCCUGAUGCAGCGACGCCGCGUGGGGGAUGAAGCUUUUCGGAGUGUAAACCCCUUUCGACCCGGACGAAUGCCCCGCAAGGGGACUGACGGUACGGGUAUAAG